AGGCAGAAAGCCACCGGAUUUUGGCGCUGUUCUUGGAUUGAUAUACCAUCAAGGUUGGAUUUCGAGGAGUGUUUUGGUCGCCCUUUAUCGGAGAAGUUGGGGGGACAUUCCUUGGAUUCGAGAUGGUGGCUGGAGCAGUGGUUAUCCAUCAGAGCAUCCCCGUGCUGGACGUGCAGUAUCGGUGCACCGCUAAGGAGAUUGAGGGGAUCGUCAACAUGUCCGCGGCGGCAGCGGCUCCCUCAUCGCCGGCGUUUCGGCAGGCGGAACGGGGGCUGGAGGCUGCUGCGGCGGCCGCGGUUGAUCUUACCGUUCCCGAGAUGGAUUUGAGUGCAUCUACAGAGCCACCUCAGUUUGUUCCUAGCAUCCGUUCAGGUAGCUUUUCCGACAUCGGGCACCGGAGUUUCAUGGAAGAUGAGCAUAUCCGUAUCGAUGAUCUUUCGGCACCCUUAGGCUCCCUGCUUAGGUGCCCUGCACCGAGUGCCUUCUACGCGGUAUUCGAUGGUCAUGGAGGUCCAGAUGCAGCUGCCUACAUUAAGAGGCAUGCAAUUAGGUUUCUGUUUGAAGAUGCUAAGUUUCCUUGGGCAUCAUCAGAAGCUGACAAGGAUUUUGUGGAAUCUGUUGAGAACUCGGUUCGUCAGGCGUUCCUUCUUGCAGACCUUGCCAUGGCUGAGGACUGCACUGUUAGCAGCUCUUCGGGGACUACGGCACUCACAGCAUUGGUGUUUGGGAGGCUUCUCCUCGUAGCCAAUGCAGGCGACUGCAGGGCAGUUCUAUGUAGGAAAGGCAAAGCAGUCGAGAUGUCACAGGAUCAUAAGCCUAUCCAUGCAAGCGAGAGGCAGAGGGUCGAGCAGUGCGGGGCUUUUGUUUACGAUGGCUACCUCAACGGCGUCCUCUCGGUCACGCGAGCCUUGGGAGACUGGGACUUGAAGGUGCCGCCGUCACCGCUCAUCCCAGAACCGGAGUUCCGGCACGCCGUCCUGACGGAGGACGACGAAUUCUUAAUCAUCGGUUGCGACGGGAUAUGGGACGUCAUGUCGAGCCAGUACGCGGUGAGCGUCGUACGCAGGGGCCUCAGGCGGCACGACGACCCCCAGCGGUGUGCGAGGGAGCUCGUCAUGGAGGCGCUGAGGCUCAACACCGCCGACAACCUCACGGUUGUUGUGAUCUGUUUCUCUGAGAGUAUGGCAAUUCGGCUUCGGCCCGUCGCGACCGGCAGCAGCGUUCCAGAUUGAGGUGCUGCAAAAGCUUGUCAGCCGAGGCCCUUUGCAUUCUCAGGAUCUUGCUGGGUAAUGGAGAUGGAGAUUGUUUGUAGCUUAAUGUGAAAAAAAUUAAGAUGAUGAUGAAAACUUAUGGUAUGUUAUCGUCCCUUUUGUUCUUAAUCAUCUCAACGACACUAAUGUUUCUAGAUA